AUUGAACGCUGGCGGCAGGCUUAACACAUGCAAGUCGAGCGAGCGGCGGACGGGUGAGUAAUGCCUGGGAAACUGCCUGAUGGAGGGGGCUAACUACUGGAAACGGUAGCUAAUACCGCAUACCCUCAGAUGUGCCCAGAUGGGAUUAGCUAGUAGGUGGGGUAAUGGCUCACCUAGGCGACGAUCCCGAGCUGGUCUGGGAGGAUGACCAGCCACAUUGUAACUGGGGCAGUGUCAGGACUCCUACGGGAGGCAGAAGUGGGGAAUAUUGCACAAUGGGUGCAAGCCGGAUGAAGACCAGCCGAGUAAGUGAAGGAGGCCUUCGGGUUGUAAAGCACUGUCAGCGAGGAGGCGUUACUCUCAGAAGAAGCACCGGAUGACUGGAUGCCAGCAGCCGCGGUAAUUC
rnacentral:rRNA from 1 species